ACGUAGGGUGCGAGCGUUAAUCGGAAUUACUGGGCGUAAAGCGUGCGCAGGCGGUUUUGUAAGACAGGCGUGAAAUCCCCGGGCUUAACCUGGGAACUGCGUUUGUGACUGCAAGACUAGAGUACGGCAGAGGGGGGUAGAAUUCCACGUGUAGCAGUGAAAUGCGUAGAUAUGUGGAGGAAUACCGAUGGCGAAGGCAGCCCCCUGGGUCGAUACUGACGCUCAUGCACGAAAGCGUGGGGAGCAAACAGGAUUAGAUACCCUGGUAGUCCACGCCCUAAACGAUGUCAACUAGGUGUUGGGGAAGGAGACUUCUUUAGUACCGCAGCUAACGCGAUAAGUUGACCGCCUGGGGAGUACGGUCGCAAGAUUA
rnacentral:rRNA from 1 species